GAUGAAGAACGUAGCGAAAUGCGAUAAGUAAUGUGAAUUGCAGAAUUCAGUGAAUCAUCGAAUCUUUGAACGCACAUUGCGCCCGGCAGUACUCUGCCGGGCAUGCCUGUUCGAGCGUCAUUUCAACCCUCAAGCCCUGCUUGGUGUUGGGGUCCCACGGCCGCCGUGGGCCCUGAAAGGAAGUGGCGGGCUCGCUACAACUCCGAGCGUAGUAAUUCAUUAUCCCGCUUAGGGCGUUGGGCGGCGCUCCUGCCGUUAAAGAACCAUCUUUAACUCAAGGUUGACCUCGGAUCAGGUAGGAAUACCCGCUGAACUUAAGCAUAUCAAUAAGCGGAGGA
rnacentral:misc_RNA from 1 species